UACGUAGGGACCAAGCGUUGUUCGGAUUUACUGGGCGUAAAGGGCGCGUAGGCGGCAUGACAAGUCACUUGUGAAAUCUCUGGGCUUAACCCAGAACGGCCAAGUGAUACUGUCGCGCUAGAGUGCGGAAGGGGCAAUCGGAAUUCUCGGUGUAGCGGUGAAAUGCGUAGAUAUCGAGAGGAACACCUGAGGUGAAGACGGGUUGCUGGGCCGACACUGACGCUGAGUGCGCGAAAGCCAGGGGAGCGAAACGGG
rnacentral:rRNA from 1 species